GGAAAUACUGGCGGAAUUGAACAUGUCCCCUUUUAUCUAUGUAAGAAUCAAGAAAUAAAAUAAAUAAAAAUGGGGUUGAGAAGAAAGGAAGGACUGAAAAAGAGAUCAUAGGAAAAAAAAAAAAAAAACUUGUAAAACUGCUCUUCAACCCACUUUUCAACCGUUUCCUUUAACGAUAAAACAAAAAUCAAGACAUUGUGUGAAUGCGAUGUGACUAAACCUAGCAGGCAGUCUUCUCUCUCUGCACAGCCAAUAGCUCUCUCUCCUGGAUUUGUUGCUUGAAGAAGAUAGGGAGAGAAGGAGAAGAGGAAAGAUCAUCAUUAUCUUAGCCGUUAAUUCUAAAAGGAGCUGUAUUGAUUGACAAUUGAUCCAAUGGACACUGCAGCGAGUCAAUCACCAUCGUCUCCAUCAAUUAUGUUUUAUGAUUUUCUUUAUAAAAUGCGAAACCCUGCUUCACUCAAUCUUGUCAAGUCUAUUAAAAGCUUCAUUGUAUCAUUCCUAUUUUCGUAUGCCAGCCCUGAAAACAAUAGCAAAAAGGUACAAGAGUUUUUCUGGACAAUGGAAGCAGCUAUCAUUGAACAUCCGUUAUGAGCAGGGAUUGGAGAAAUAUGUCAUGAAAAAAUUGUUCUCCUGAACAUUUGCUACUUCUCCUGAGGAUUUGGAGAUUGACCAAGAGAUCUCAGAGAUGAUACACUUUUUGCAAUCCUUUUUGCGGUCUGAGCAUUUGGAUAUUCCUGCAUUUCUUCAGAAUGAAGCUUCAUGGCUGCUUGCAGAAAAGGAAUUGCAGAAGAUCAACGCUUUUGAAGCUCGGGAGAAGCUUCUCUGUAUUAUGAGUUGUUGCAUGAUCAUCAACAAUUUGCUGCUCAAUUCAACAAUGUGAGAAAAUCAAGUAGUAGGAGGGCCUAAUGACUUUCUUCCUGUUCUUAUACAUGUUACAAUCAAGGCAAGAUCUCCUUGAGAGUAUGCGAGCAGCUAGGUUGGACAGCAAGGUAUCACAAGUACAAGCUUUACGAGCACAGACAGGUCAUGGUCCCCCAACAAGAAUGUGUUGCGUGGAAACAAAUAUAGAUGGCAGAUCAAAUUAUCCAUACAUGGAAGCUGAACCUGGUGAAUUGACAGUUGAAGAUGUGGAAAGAUUUCUGAGUGGUACAAAGAUGUAGUUACAAAGUACCACUCACCUCUGCAGGGCCGUUUGGCAUCCCUCUGCAACCAGAACAGAGCCAUCUCAUCAUGAGAUGAAAUUUUAUUCCAACUUGAGGGACAACUGCAAAUGAUCCAAGAGGAGAAUGAGGUGCACAAAUUUGAAUUUCAUCACAAUUGUCAAUCCCAGCGCACCUAGUAUGCUGCCAAACACCGCAGGUAUCACAAGCUAACAUCCUCUCACCAUCAUCAUCCUUAGCUCCACACAUGCAAUCCACUAUCCAAUUCUCCUGUCCCUUCUCCAUUCGGAAAUGGCUAAGUGCAUAUUUUGAUGGGCAUGUCCCUUUAAUUCGGACAGUUCCACUUUGUCCAACCAGAAACUUAAUAGUAAUGGAAUCCUCAAGAGGCCCAUAGUCUACCAAUUCACGAGCUUCGAAUCUCUUAAGCAUGGCAUAUACUUGUUGAAAAGCUUUGGUGGCUUCAGUUUUUAGGUCAGCAACAGUGGCAUUUGAAGGGAGGACAAUUAACUCUGGCGGUAUAGUUGGGUCUUCUUUUAGAUGCUCUGAAAACUCUACAUAGCACCAAAGCUGAAUGGCAAAAGGGUUAUCAACCAUCCGCUUAUCUGGUCUACAGUAGUCCUUCACGAAUUGUUUGCAGUCGAGAAGCUUGGUUGCUGAGUCAAUCACAUCUUCCCUAGUCACUAGAGGUCUAUAGUUUACCAUGGUUUCGGGGUGAACCAGGGAAUCAAAUAAAAAUUUCAGAUCACCUAUGAUAUGUUCUUUUGAUGGCUGAUUUGAGUCGAGCCCAUUUCCAUUGUGUUUGAAACUCGGUGGUUCUAGCCUGUUACAUUAGAGAGAUGACAGAUUGAGUAAUGUAUUUAGCAAAUUUGGAGUGAAAAACAACUGAAACAGUUUGGUGUUAGCAUCAACUACCUGAAUUCAAUAUCAAAGGAAUUAGGAUUGCAUCGUGCCCAAACCAUUGUGCCGCUAGCUGCCAACUUCCCUCCCAAGUGUUUAAGGCAGUAAUCAAGAAGCUCUGGAGAUGCUGUUUUACACAUGACACCUUUAAGAGCAUGCCUUGUAACCCAAUUGGUCUUGCCAGAUGCCGCAGCCAGUACCUUGAUCAUUGCUUGUUGUACACGUUCUACAUCAUCCCUUGUCCACGCACACAAUAUAUUUGCAGCAGGUUUUAAGUUCUUGAGUGUUGCCUUGGAUGCUAAUGACUCAUUGCUUGCAUGGAUCAGACUAGACAAAAAGGAGAAAAGGUCCUUUAUAGUAACAAGCUCCGAGUCUGACAGUGAUCGGUAAAAUGAAAUUAGAGCUUGUAGCCUAGUUUGUGGUCCUCGCCACCGGAAUAAUAGGGGGGCUAAGGGCACACUUGAUAUGCUUUCCACUGCUUUCUUGUAAGCAUCCAAUGUUAUUGCAAAGCUUCCACAUCCAAAUUCAUAACCCCAACCACCAUACCAUGAAUGACCCUUGGUGAUUGCAUUGAGCAAUCGGUACUCCAUCCCAUAUUUUCUUGACACAUCCAUGACGGAUAUCUUCCUAUACAGCAAAUGAAGUUAACACACAGUCAGAUGCUUCCAAUCAUAACCAGAUGUGAAAAAUCUCAUCUAAAAUUUGUUUGUCCUGCCACCACUAGAGACCUCAAGUGCUCUGUUAAUUAACCAUGUUAUUUAUUUGUUAAACCCAAACUCUUUGCUGAUUGUUUAGCUAAUUAUGUAUGUUACUAACAGGUCAGUGGUGCACCAACUUUCAGUUCUGAUUCAUUAAACCAAUGAAAGUUGAGAAAAAUACUUUAAAUAUCAAAAGCAAUAGUUCAGUAUCAAAUUUAUUGCGCCAUUUAGCUGUAACGCAAGACUUGCAUGGAUGGCAGUGCAGUGUUUGCAAGUUCAAGCCAAUAUUAAGGUUCAAUAAAGUUCAUGAUUGAGUGGAGACUGAGGCGACAAAAAGUGCUCAUACGGUAGCAGCAAAGCAAAAUACACAAAUCAGUGAAUUAUAUAGAUCAACAAGAGUACAAACCUUACUGCCAGAGUCUCGCACAGCCUAUCCCAAAAGUUCAUGAUAUCAGAACCAGUCAAAACACUGGAACCACCUUCCCUUCCAUUAACCAAAAGCAGGUGGCCAAAUCCAUUGGAGUGAACAACCCCGUGAAGUAGAUGAGUGUUAUCUUCGAACUGAGAAUACACCCAAUCUUCAAUAUCAUCUGUGGUAAUCACGGUGUCACACCCCUUGCACCUACACCCACCACAAAAACAGCUUCAAUCUCAAGAUCACAAUAAAGAGAUUAGGCAACCCAGUAGUGAGUUUUACCUGGAUUCUGACGAUAUGUGCGACCACCGAUUGCCGCAUCUGUUGCAUGAUCUCUGAUAUCCAUCAGCAGGGCUGCUGUUGUUAGCUCUUAUGAUAAAAUGGUACCGUUUCUUGCAAACGGGAUGUCCACCCCAGCCUUUGGGAAAAUAAAAGAUAAAUAAAUAAGAAUUUAGCAUGCUUAAGGAUACGUCUGAUUUAUUUAUUUAAUCAUUUUUUAGAAUCCAAACUUUCAAAUACUAGUUCACAUUAUUAUUAUCCACAAUGUAAAAUCUGAGUCAGCAUGGGGUUUAUUCUUUUAUUUUAUUAUAAAUUAAAUGUGACGUCAUUGCUGACUCGGGUGGGUGGUGAGCCGACUCACCAACGACUCGGCACUGGUUGCAAUACACGGAUCUAGAAGAUCUGGUAACGUCCUCCUCAACAAUAUCGAGAGCCAGAACGACCGAUGAGAUAUCCGGACCGUCGAGCACCAGAUCUCCUAUGCGAAACAAGAUCUGCCACGUCAACAAGGAGGGAAACAGUGAAGGUGGGAAGGUGACCCGCGCGUGACGUGACAAAAACGCCUUGAUGUUGUCCCUGAAGGGAACAGCGGGGGAGACGGAGUCGUCGGCAGACGGAAAAGAGAGGAUGUCGUAGAGAUUUGCAGUAACCCUGUUAUUUCUCCUGGCUCGCUUCAUCGGCCUGUCGCUCACUACCGUUGUUCUGGGCUAGUAAGUACGGCUGCGUUUCGCUUCAAAUCCGUUCGAUGUGUCUGCGUUUUCUUCUGUUUUGUGUGUUCAAAGUGAAAUGAAUAGCUGGCACAGAGAGAGAGGGGUUUAAGAGAGUGUGUGUGAGGGGAGGAGGAGGAGGAGUGAGGGUUUAUGAUUUUCGGCUUUGUUUGGUAUUCGUGUGGGGAAAAAAUAAAGAGGUGGAGGCGAGAUGAGAGAGAUCUGUUUCGUGUUUUAACUCGUCGUGGUGGUGGUGGAUCCCACCGGAAAAGACGGGUCUUUUGGCUGUUCUGCUUUCCUUCUUUUUCUUUUCUCUUUUCGUAUGGCGGUUCGAGGAUUUUUUUUAUUUUUAUUUUUCAGAUCUCAUCUCUUUAUUAUUUAAUUUGCAAAUAUCACAUUUUUCUUUUUAUAAGAACAGUAUAUCCUACUGUAUAUGUACACAAAAGCAAAGCCAUUUUGGAUUUACUUUCUUUGUUUUGCCUUCUUUUCA